GGUGGGCCCGGAGCGGACUUCAAAUUCCUCAUUCAAUUUUAGUUAAUUGACAGGAAAGCAAAAUCCCACACACCUAAAAUAUUAAUUUUUUAAAAAAUAAUUAAAAAAAUGGGAUAGAAUUUGAAAAGCGAGAUGGAGAUGGGCCUUUCAAGACUCCGCUCCGCACGCUGCCAUGUCACUAUCUUUAAAUUUUUAUUAAAGACGCAAAAUCCUAUCCCUUCAUUUUCUCACCACUAUAUAUAUCCUUCUCGUUUCUCUUUCCCUCUCGCCCCAUCCUUCGUUUUUCUCUCUCUACAACAGUCACCUCUCCUUAAAUCACGGCUUUUUGUUUUUCUCUCUUUUGCUAACCCUUUCCCAUCAACCAAACACCCUUCUCUCUCCUCUCUUAUUAUUAUAUGCUAACCACCCACAAAAUCUCUUUGAUUAGAUUUGCUCUGUCCCCUUAGAACCUGAACGUGAAACCCAUUAUAUUAUUUAAUGGACCAAGAAUCUGAAAACAACAGGAAACGACCCCGAGAUGACUCAUAUCGUGACUCUCCCGAGUCCAAACUCGCUCGGGUUGAGUCGUGUGGCGACUCGCCCGAUCUCGGUGAAAGCCACCUGGACUCGGAUAACUCGAGUGUGAACUCGUGCAAGGGUGUUCAUAACCUUAUUGACUCGAAUGGCUCUGGUCUUAACUCUCCGGAUGCUAAGCGGAUCCACGAUGAUUUGCUAAACAUUCUUGAUGAGUGGGAUGACCAGACUAUUCAAGGCCUUGACUCCGUUAUCAGAAGCUUUGAAGAAGAAAUCCUCGUGCCGGUUGUUGGUCCGGAGACGACGAAUGUGGAGUGUUAUGGCGGUGUAUCCCAGCCGGAACUUGGCUAUCUUCUGGAAGCUUCGGACGAUGAGCUUGGUUUGCCGCCGACGUUUUCUGGCGAGGAAAAGAGAAGUACAGUGGAUUUGGCUGCUGAAACAAGCGGAUCUGGCGCCGAAGGUUUCGGUGAAAUGCUAGGAUUCGAGAACGAGAUACCGAGUUAUGACUCGUUUGAGUUUGGACUGAUGGGUGACUCGGCUGGCAAUAGUUAUAACGGUAGCUACAAUGACAGCGGAGAUUUUGUGGCG
rnacentral:misc_RNA from 1 species